rnacentral:lncRNA from 1 species
UUCUAUAUCAUUUCCAAGGGGAGUGAUGAGAAGGCUAUCAACAGCCUGCUAUUUUCUGCACAAACAGAGCUAUAGCUAAUCCUUUUUAGUCAAACUCCAACCCCAGCAGACACCCUGCUUUGAUGCAUCAGGAAUUUCUUAACAUGGACACGAGGAAUGGGCUACAAAAGAAACCUGGCUGCCGAGACAUGUGCCCACCCUAGGGCUGCUCUGUGGACCCAAGGC